UUAAUGGAGUGUAGUAAAACUUCUUUAUUCCGAAGUAUCCGAACAUGGUGACUUGGAACAACACCAAAGCAGCUACGAGGCGAGUGUGUAUGUGGGGCCACAUCUUCCCGUAGCUCUCAUACGAAGGAACAUACACUUUAAUUGCCUGAUUCCGAAGAACAAGCCAGCCAAUAGCAAAGUACAGCGCGCCAAAUGGAAUAAUGAUAGGAGCUAUGAUAGAGUAGCAGAGGACAACGGUGAUGACCAGCAGAUCGCUGGGUACCCUAGUUGCCAAACCGAGAUCCCCUGGAGUCCAAGCUGCUUUAAGCUCAUCUUCAGUUUUGCAAAGGUACUUCCUCUUCAAAUGGUAAAUGAUCAAAGGAACUAAUCGAGAUAGCUCCAGCCCGUAGCCAACAAAGAACCUGAGAUGGAAAAAAUAAGCAACUCCCUCCACUUGUCAUAUUGAAAGGAAAAUACACACAUCUGCUUUCCUUUUGUCCAAAAUGACUGAUACAAACCACAAUACUUGCCAUACUUCCAUAACGAGGAGAGGGAAAGUUAAUGAAUGGUCGGGUGGGAUAUAAUUAUAAGGGUAGUGAAUGUCGUACUCCUCUUUUUCAUAAACUUCUUUUCCACACAUGAAAAGACAUCCAAUACUAACAUGUAAUUUGACAUGCUAAAAACUGAUACCACAAAACAUUAUUGUUGUGAUAGUAUUAUAUGGAUUUGCAGCAGUAGAGAUCAGAAUUUGGUAAUGAUGUAAUCUUGUCAAAUAAUUUUAAACCUAUUCUGACAAAACUAGCAACUGCCCAAAUUUGUCCAUCCAAUUAUAACGUGUAUUUGGGCAUG